CAGGAUUCCCCUAGUAACUGCGAGUGAAGCGGGAAAAGCUCAAAUUUGAAAUCUGGCGGUCCUUUGCGGCCGUCCGAGUUGUAAUCUAGAGAAGUGCUACCCGCGCUGGACCGUGUACAAGUCUCCUGGAAUGGAGCGUCACAGAGGGUGAGAAUCCCGUCUUUGACACGGACUGCCAGGGCUUAUGUGGUGCGCUCUCGAAGAGUCGAGUUGUUUGGGAAUGCAGCUCUAAAUGGGUGGUAAAUUCCAUCUAAAGCUAAAUACAGGCGAGAGACCGAUAGCGAACAAGUACCGUGAGGGAAAGAUGAAAAGAACUUUGGAAAGAGAGUUAAACAGUACGUGAAAUUGCUGAAAGGGAAACGUUUGAAGUCAGUCGCGUUGGCUGGGGAUCAACCUUGCUCUUGCAGGGCGCACUCUCUGGCUCGACGGGUCAGCAUCAGUUUCGGCCGCUGGAGAAAGGCUAGGGGAAUGUGGCAUCGCUUCGGUGAUGUGUUAUAGCCCUUGGUCGUAUGCAGCGGCUGGGACUGAGGAACUCAGCCUGCCCUUAACUGGGCCGGGUCUUUUUGACCACGCUUAACGGGCUUAGGAUGCUGGCAUAAUGGCUUUAAGCGACCCGUCUUGAAACACGGACCAAGGAGUCUAACAUGCUUGCGAGUGUUUGGGUGGAAAACCCGAGCGCGUAAUGAAAGUGAAAGUUGGGAACCCUGUCGUGGGGUGCACCGACGCCCGGACCAGACCUUCUUGCGACGGCUCCGCGGUAGAGCAGGCAUGUUGGGACCCGAAAGAUGGUGAACUAUGCCUGAAUAGGGUGAAGCCAGAGGAAACUCUGGUGGAGGCUCGUAGCGAUUCUGACGUGCAAAUCGAUCGUCAAAUUUGGGUAUAGGGGCGAAAGACUAAUCGAACAUCUAGUAGCUGGUCUGCGG
rnacentral:rRNA from 1 species